rnacentral:pre_miRNA from 1 species
UCUUAUAAAUGAGCAAAGGAAGUAGUUUCUUGACAUGGAAUCUACUCCUGAAAAAGAUGCUGUGAA